CCGAUUUGAAGAUGUUGAGGUAUCCUCUGAUGAAGAUGGGUGACAAAUAAAACUCUUAAGCUGGCUUCACUAUAUGAAAGAAAAGAAACAAAAAGAAUAAAUGUUAUAUAUAUCUCUCCUAGACACAUCUUUUAUAUCAGUCUCUCUACUUUCUUUUUUGUUGUUUCCCCCACACAAUGAUUCUACAAUCUUUAUGAGUCAAUAUUU